AGUCCGGUGAUCUUAAUAUGAGAAAGAUACAUGAUUUUAGUAAAAAAAAAAGAGAUAAAAACAAUAAUCGGGUUUAACCAAGAUGAAUCUUGAGAUUUCACUCUUGAAAGAAAAAUGACUGAUUUCCUGGCGCAGGAUUUUAUUUAGUUGGUAAGUUCAGUAACAUUAGUGAUUAUAUAUUUAGCUUGUAUAGAGUUGAAACAAGAAUAUACAAUACUCAACACAUCACGCGGUUAAAUUUAUUUGUUCGGCAAAUUCGAAUUGAAUCACUUGCAUUAGCCUUGAUUAAUAGAGCAUUAACAUUAGCAUUAUGCUCAACAUGACCGAUGCUUCAUAUGAAGUUUUUAGAAAAAUAUUUGCAUUUAUAAUUUAUAAAAUUAAGAAAAAUAUAUAAUUAAUUUAUUUAUUUUAUUUAAUAA
rnacentral:lncRNA from 1 species